AUCCGUGCCCCGCCCCCCAAGGUGGCCGUGAGGGAGGGGGGAGCCGCUGCGGAGCGCUUUUGUGAGAGAGAAAUGGGACCGGGGCCGCUUCCCCUGAAAUGUUCAAGUGUCUUUAGCAGGCACGAAGCACGUUAACUCCGCAAGACACCGCUGAAGUCUGUGCCCUAAGCCAGGGACCUCUCUGCCCUGAGAAAGCCCCCCGAAACUCCUUCGGUCAGGAGUCAGAUUUACAUAAUUUAUGACUGUUACGGAGAGCGAAUAUAGGAGAAUGUCUAAGUUUUGUAGUGUGUAUUGGCAUUUAUUUACUGGAAAUCCCUCCAGGCAAAGCAAGCUGCUGUGGAGUGUCAAAGCCCAGGGCCCUCAGUGCCCUGACAUCGCCACACUGCUGCCGUCACUGCCAGCAAGGAAUGGUUUGGUGGCUACGAAGAAGGAGCAGCCCUUCCCUGGGAGGACAGCACCUGUCGUUCCUGCCGGGCAACAAUUUUGCAUGUGCUCCUGA
rnacentral:lncRNA from 1 species